CGCGUAGGUGGUUAUGUAAGUGAGGUGUGAAAUCCCUGGGCUCAACCUGGGAACUGCAUCUUAUACUGCAUAGCUGGAGUACAUGAGAGGGUAGUGGAAUUUCCGGUGUAGCGGUGAAAUGCGUAGAUAUCGGAAGGAACACCAGUGGCGAAGGCGGCUACCUGGCAUGAUACUGACACUGAGGCGCGAGAGCGUGGGGAGCAAACAGGAUUAGAUACCCUGGUAGUCCACGCAGUAAACGAUGAAAACUAGAUGUCGGACAGCUUAGACUGUUCGGUAUCGCAGCUAACGCGAUAAGUUUUCCGCCUGGGGAGUACGGUCGCAAGAUUAAA
rnacentral:rRNA from 1 species